rnacentral:snRNA from 1 species
GGGUGUGAGCACGAUCUGGCUGCCACAUCUGUCACCCUAUUGACCUCCAGCGUUGGUACAGCUGAUCUGGCUGGGUAGGUGGGUGUCCCCUUCCUCCCUCCCUGCUCCAUAUGCGUCCUCCCGAAGCUCGGUCGAGGAGGCCAGCGUUCCCUGAUAGAGGAAGUCAGGGGUAUAUGAGUAGCUACGCUCCCCUGCAAGAGCCUCCAGACAAGCUCUGAGUCCAUUUGUAGGAGAAUGUAGGGUAGUCAAGCUUCCAAGACUCUAGACACAUCCAAAUAAGGCACUACAUAUGGCAGUCUGCCUUUCUUC